rnacentral:rRNA from 1 species
AUUGAACGCUGGCGGCAGGCCUAACACAUGCAAGUCGAACGAGUGGCGGACUGGUGAGUAAUGUCUGGGAAACUGCCUGAUGGAGGGGGAUAACUGCUGGAAACGGUAGCUAAUACCGCAUACCAUCGGAUGUGCCCAGAUGGGAUUAGCUAGUAGGUGGGGUAAAGGUUCACCUAGGCGACGAUCCCUAGCUGGGCUGCGAGGAUGACCAGCCACACUGGAACUGGGACACGGUCCAGACGCCGACGGGGGGCAGCAGUGGGGAAUAUUGCACAAUGGGCGCAAGCCUGAUGCAGCCAUGCCGCGUGUAUGAAGAAGGCCUUCGGGUUGUAAAGUACUUUCAGCGGGGAGGCGUUACCCGAAGAAGAAGCACCGGCUAACUCCGUGCCAGCCGCCGCGGUAAUAC